GUCUGGGCCUGGGGGCUGAGAGAUGACUCCAGUGCCCCCUCAAGUCUGUCAUUAAAAUGGGCGGAAGGAGCCAGCACAAGAAUUGUUCAGCUCUUCUGUCGGUUUCCGAGCAGGAUGUAAACCAGCGAGCGCCGCCGGGGAGGGAAUUUGUCACCGGGACAGCUCUUCCCUGCUUGCUCCGAUGACCACACGGAGGAGACAUGCUGCUGGUGCUGACCGACAAGACCCUGCUUUCCCAGGUUCUCCCCCUGCAACGUCCACCUUGUGACCUCUCCCCAGCACUGCUCCGGGGAUGAACGUGCAGGCAGGCUCUGUGGAGCAGGCGGUCUCCAGGCUCUCUUGAGAGGAUUCCAGAGCUCCCUGUGCCAGCCCAGCAGGAUGCAGAGGCAUCACAGCAACAGUGUUUCUAGGGGUGUUUUGGUGCUUCCAGUCCAGCCCCAAAGCAAGGGCAAAAGGUGGAGGAUGGUCCUAGCUGGCAGUUCAGGAGUUUUUGCACUUUCCUCUGAAGCAGCUGGGGCUGGCCCAUCAGAGAUGGGAUACCGGGCUAGAUGGGUUCCUGGUCUGAGUGGGUUUGGCAGUUCAUAACCUUGAGCACCAUAGUCCAGAGCAGAGAAGAUCCAGGGUCCAGGAGGCCCAGUGUCUCCACUCUGAGAGUGGCCAGUUACUGGCUGCUUCACAGAAGGUGCAAGAAACCCCCUAGCAGAGAACUGAGGUGUGGGACAGAGUUUCUUCCCGUGGCCCACUCCCCUCAACUCAUGUCGGUCUCAUGCCCUGGAGUGGGAGGGUUUGUAGCCUCCUAUCUUGUCAUGUGGCUUUCUCAUUCUCCAUAUAAACAUCCAGUCCUUUUUUACACUCCAGAUGAAUGCCUGGCCUCCAGGCUGUCUCGGGGCAGGGAGUUCUGCAGGUUAUUUAUGCAUCAUGUGACCCUCUGAUCAGCUGUAAAUGUGUUGCCUUUUGCUUUUGUCCAGUGUUCAUGAGAAAGACGGAUUGGGGACACCUGACUUACCUUCUCUGCACCCCAUAUUCUCUUGCUCCCCCUUCAUCCUGGCCUCCUUUCUAAACACUCCUAACCUUGUCAACCUCUCCUGACCUCUAAUCAUUUCCCAUCCCCGUCCCUGGACCCCUUCUCUGUCUGCUCUAUAUUUUGGAGAUGGGGUGGGCAGAACACCUUAGUCCAGUAACAUCUGCAGUAUUAUAUCCCAGCCCACUGUAAAACCUGUUUGUCUGACCACCCGCGGUGGCGCACCGAGCCCUAGAGUCAGAGAUUCCAAGGCCAGAAGGGCCAACUGUGACCUCCUGCAAAAUACAGCCCAUGGACCUGCCCCCAAAGAAUCCCCAGAGCAGAGCUUUAAGAAAAACAGCCAAUUUUGAUUGCAAAACGGUCAGUGAUGGAGAACGCACCACGACCCUGAUAAAUCGUUCCAGUGGCUAAUUACUCUCCUCAUUACAAAUUUACCUUAUCUCCAGUCUGAAUUUGCCUAGCUUCAACUUCCAGCCACUGGAUCGUGUUCAGACUGUUCUCGGCUAGACUGCAGAGCCCAGUAUUAAAUAUUGUUCCCCACGUAGGCACCUAUAGGCACUGCUUUGUUAAGCUAAAUAGAUCGAGCUCCUGGAGUUUCUCACUAUAAGGCAGGUUUUCUAACCCUUUAAUCAUUCUCGUGGCUCUUCUCUGAACCUUCCAAUUGAUCAACAGCCUCCAUGAGUUGUGGGCACCAGAACUGGACACAGGAUUCCAGAAAUGGUGGCACCAGGGCCAAAGACAGAGGUCAAAUAACCUCUCUACUCCUACGUGAGAUUCCCCUGUUUAUUGCAUCCCAGGGUGGUAUUGGUUCUUUUGGCCCCAGAGUGUCACACUGGGAGCUCAUGUUCAGCUGAUUAUCCAGCACCACCCCCCUUCGCCUAGUAUAAGUUCGUCAACUCCGGGCUUGUCCCAGUGUAAUGAGAUCGGUUAAAAAUCCUCUCCCAACAGUGUCCCCACCUGUGAAAUGGGGGCGGUGAUCCCACCUCCUGUGUAACGUGCGUGCGAGUUACGGAUGACAAGCACUUGGCAGGAGCAGGGGCUGUUGUGAACUGAGACCGCUGUACCGGUACAAAGGCUGUGUGCCGCACAGGCUGUUAUUCACACUGGCAGCUGCCUUCUGAUUCCUAACAAAAUGCCUAAGGCUAACAUUUCCCAGGUAAUGAGUGAUUUGGGGCUACCUGAUAGGAUUUCCAGCGCAGGUGCUCAGCACUGGCUGAUGCUCAGCACCUUGAAGGUGUCUCAGGUUGGGCUCCCACAGACUGAGUCCCCCCCCAAAAUCACUCAUCACUUUGACAGACCUGGCCUGAGGCACUGAAAUACUGGAAUUCGCUCCCCACCACAAGCCUUGCCCAGACACUGACCAGGCCUCUCUCUUCAGCUUCACAUCAAACUCCAGAUUCCUCACUCAGCGAGCUCUGAACCAUUAUAAGACAGCAGCAUUUGUGGGGCAGGCCUGCCCUUGCCCUGGACCUUCUGCUCCCAUUUACCCCAGGGCAAAGUGUUUUCUGAUUUGGGAGUUGGGGUGAGUUCAGAAAUCUGUCUUCCUCCUCUUUACCUUUGCUCCCCUCACUAUGGGGUCGGCUCUUUGAGGCCUUCUUCUCCAUUCCUGUAUGUCUUGAAGCAAUUCCUCGGAAACUCUGCAGCUGCAUAACAUCCAUCCAUCUAGUUUUGGGUCUUCCAACCCUUCUCUGACCAUUCACUUCUUCUGAAGAAGAGCUCUGUGUAAGCUCGAAAGCUGGUCUCUCUCACCAACAGAAGUUGGUCCAAUAAAGCUAUUACCUCAGCCACCAUGUCUCUCUAACAACCACUUCUAAGUUUAAUGGCCUGUUUCUGAUAUAUUUUUCCACUUGUCUGUUCACAUGCCCAAUUUCAGAUUUCAGAAAGCUGUGCCACAGAGAUCUGGUUGCUAUUAGGAAGGUUUGACAUUGCUGGAUCAUGGAAAGCCUCUGACUCAAUGUUUAUCCACCAGACCUGCACCCCCCAACUCAGGGCCUGAGGAGAAUGGGAAGUGCUUAACUUUAAUGACUAUCAGUACGCUCAAGGGGUUUGCUUAUGCAGGGAAAAGAUACUUCCUCCUCUGUCUGAAAGGACUUUGGGGGCUGGGGGGGGGUGGUGGAAAGUUACAAAAACAGGGCAAAGACACAGGUGUCCCCUUGUUUAUCCUCCCCCCCCCCCCCCCCGACGUUCUU